UGGGGAAUAUUGCACAAUGGGCGCAAGCCUGAUGCAGCCAUGCCGCGUGUGUGAAGAAGGCCUUCGGGUUGUAAAGCACUUUCAGCGGGGAGGAAGGCGUUAAGGUUAAUAACCUUGGCGAUUGACGUUACCCGCAGAAGAAGCACCGGCUAACUCCGUGCCAGCAGCCGCGGUAAUACGGAGGGUGCAAGCGUUAAUCGGAAUUACUGGGCGUAAAGCGCACGCAGGCGGUCUGUCAAGUCGGAUGUGAAAUCCCCGGGCUCAACCUGGGAACUGCAUUCGAAACUGGCAGGCUAGAGUCUUGUAGAGGGGGGGAGAAUUCCAGGUGUAGCGGUGAAAUGCGUAGAGAUCUGGAGGAAUACCGGUGGCGAAGGCGGCCCCCUGGACAAAGACUGACGCUCAGGUGCGAAAGCGUGGGGAGCAAACAGG
rnacentral:rRNA from 1 species